rnacentral:lncRNA from 1 species
CGGUUUUCUUGCUCAAGUUGGUAUUUUGUACAAAAGUGCAUGUAUAUUCUGGUAACUUUUUUUUUCCUCUCCUGCAUCCGUUUUUAUUGUUCAAUAUUUAGGGAUGUAUAUAUCGGGUGAUUUCCUGAAGUUGAGUUUAUAGUUUUGUUCUGUUUGUAGCUUUGAAGUGUAAAAUAGAAAUAAUUUAGAUAUCUUACUGGAAUGGAUACCCAUAAUUUUGUGUCAUUGGAUUUA